rnacentral:rRNA from 1 species
CACGUAGGGGGCAAGCGUUGUCCGGAAUCAUCGGGCGUAAAGAGCUCGUAGGCGGCUCAGUAAGUCGGGUGUGAAACCUCCAGGCUCAACCUGGAGACGCCACCCGAUACUGCUGUGGCUAGAGUCCAGUAGGGGAGUGUGGAAUUCCUGGUGUAGCGGUGAAAUGCGCAGAUAUCAGGAAGAACACCCGUGGCUAAGGCGGCUCUCUGGGCUGGAACUGACGCUGAGGAGCGAAGGCGUGGGUAGCAAACAGG